rnacentral:rRNA from 1 species
UACAGAGACCUCAAGCGUUACUCGGAUUCACUGGGCGUAAAGGGAGCGCAGGCGGUCAAAUGUGCCAGGUGUGAAAUCCCAAGGCUUAACUUUGGAACUGCGCCUGAAACUGUUUGACUUGAGAUUCGGAGGGGUAAGCGGAAUUCCAGGUGUAGCGGUGAAAUGCGUAGAUAUCUGGAGGAACACCAACGGCGAAGGCAGCUUACUGGACGAAAUCUGACGCUCAGGCUCGAAAGUGUGGGGAGCAAAAGGG